AUGUACAGUGUGUGAAAGGUAUCAGUUAUUCCAUCUAAGCAGAGUCGGAAAAAUCCUCCUGGUAAAAAAAGCGUUCAUGUAAUUUUAAGAAACUGUCAAACUGAACUUUCAAUCGAAGAGGAGAGAAAGCUUUAAUGAGAGAAAUGGUUAUUUGCCGUUAUGGAAACUAGUGAUUAUUGUGUCAGACCAAGGCUUGCAUCCCCAAAAAUUGCACCUUAUUCCCUCUGUAGUGCAUAUGUUGGCCCUUUGGUCAGUAAAGGUGUGUACUACAUAGGGAACAGGGUGCCAUUUGUGAUACAUGCCAUGUUAGAUGUUAUCUGUAGUGGACUUGUGAGAGCCUGUGUCCAAUGUCUCUCCCNNNNNNNNNNCCCCAAGGUUGUGAGAUACUCGGCUGUUAUAUGUGCUUAGAAAACACAUCACUGUUCAUCACGGAAAAGACGAUAACUACCACUCCCACGCAGAUACACACUUAUCAUCUCACUAUAGAACAGGAUCAUAUAUAUGGUGUUCAGUAUACCUAGUUACCACUGGGUAGACAGGUCACGCGUGAUACAAGUCAGUAUUCGACGUCUGGAGAUGAUGUGGAAAUCGGCCACUAGGGGGCAACGGGGAACGUUGUUACCUUCAAGUAGGUUUUGGGGGUUUUCCUACAUUGUUGUGGAUGGGGAUGGUGGAUCAGCGUAAGCAUCUGCCUCUGGGUUUCAAAAGUAGCAUUUUUGAAUUCAGCGACAGGAAACAGUUUUAUCCCAAAUCUUAACCCUUAUCUCAACCAUUCAGAUUUAAUGCCUAAAUUUAACUCUGAUUUUACAAAUUUCGAGUGAAUGCCUAAACUUAAUCUUAAACACUUUGAUGUUUGGAACAAAUUCAAAAUUUGACGUUUGAGAAAAAAUGGAUGAACUAAUUCUGAUGUGAGGCAGAGCUUGUUGUGUGUGUGUGUGUCUGUGUCUGUGUGUCGUCUGUGUGUCUGUGUGUGUGUGUGUGUCUGUGUGUGUGCGUGUGUGUUUUGAUAUCGGUGUUCUAUCUCCAGUCUUUACCAGUGUAGUGGCUAACACGGUACAGAGUUAUAUUUUGUGUGUGUGUGUGUGUUGUGAUAUCGGUGUUCUAUCUCCAGUCUUUACCAGUGUAGUGGCUAACACGGUACAGAGUUAUAUUUUGUGUGUGUGUGUGUGUUGUGAUAUCGGUGUUCUAUCUCCAGUCUUUACCAGUGUAGUGGCUAACACGGUACAGAGUUAUAUUUUGUGUGUGUGUGUGUGUGUGUGUUGUGAUAUCGGUGUUCUAUCUCCAGUCUUUACCAGUGUAGUGGCUAACACGGUACAGAGUUAUAUUUUNNNNNNNNNNCCCCAAGGUUGUGAGAUACUCGGCUGUUAUAUGUGCUUAGAAAACACAUCACUGUUCAUCACGGAAAAGACGAUAACUACCACUCCCACGCAGAUACACACUUAUCAUCUCACUAUAGAACAGGAUCAUAUAUAUGGUGUUCAGUAUACCUAGUUACCACUGGGUAGACAGGUCACGCGUGAUACAAGUCAGUAUUCGACGUCUGGAGAUGAUGUGGAAAUCGGCCACUAGGGGGCAACGGGGAACGUUGUUACCUUCAAGUAGGUUUUGGGGGUUUUCCUACAUUGUUGUGGAUGGGGAUGGUGGAUCAGCGUAAGCAUCUGCCUCUGGGUUUCAAAAGUAGCAUUUUUGAAUUCAGCGACAGGAAACAGUUUUAUCCCAAAUCUUAACCCUUAUCUCAACCAUUCAGAUUUAAUG
rnacentral:lncRNA from 13 species